CGAUAAGCAAUGCGAAUUGCAGAACCGUGAGUCAUCAGUAUUUUUGAACGCAUCUGGCACAAGUUGGCUCUCCAGCUUGUAUGUCUUGUUUCAGUGUCUUGUUCUCUCCUCAACCCAAAUCCUAAUGCGGGAGAUACCCUUCUCUUGCUAAACACGAAAAGCGCUCUGCACUCUGCAAGCGGCGUCGACCUAGUCGGUGCCACACUCAAUGCAGCAGUCACAUUGUUCACAAUGUGAACUCAUUGAGAGUAGAGGCAGUGCAGCAUUAGCUGCCAGUGCUUAGACACCUUAAACUUUCUUGUAUCUGAAAUCAAGCAGGAUCACCCGCUGAACUUAA
rnacentral:rRNA from 1 species